rnacentral:rRNA from 1 species
UACGUAGGGUGCGAGCGUUGUCCGGAAUUAUUGGGCGUAAAGAGCUUGUAGGCGGUUUGUCGCGUCUGCCGUGAAAGCCCAGGGCUUAACCCUGGGUCUGCGGUGGGUACGGGCAGACUAGAGUGCGGUAGGGGAGAUUGGAAUUCCUGGUGUAGCGGUGGAAUGCGCAGAUAUCAGGAGGAACACCAAUGGCGAAGGCAGAUCUCUGGGCCGUAACUGACGCUGAGGAGCGAAAGCAUGGGGAGCGAACAGG